GAUGAACGCUGGCGGCGUGCCUAAUACAUGCAAGUCGAGCGAACAGACGAGGAGCUUGCUCCUUUGACGUUAGCGGCGGACGGGUGAGUAACACGUGGAUAACCUACCUAUAAGACUGGGAUAACUUCGGGAAACCGGAGCUAAUACCGGAUAACAUGUUGAACCGCAUGGUUCAACAGUGAAAGACGGUCUUGCUGUCACUUAUAGAUGGAUCCGCGCCGCAUUAGCUAGUUGGUAAGGUAACGGCUUACCAAGGCAACGAUGCGUAGCCGACCUGAGAGGGUGGUCAGCCCCACUUGGACUGCGACACGGUUCCGACUCCUACGGGUGGCCAGCGUGGGGAAUCUUCCGCAAAGGGGGUAAACCUAACGGCACAACGCCACGUGGGGUGAGAAGGUCUUCGGAUUGUUAAAACCUUUUAUUAGGGAAGAACAAAUGUGUAAGUAACUAUGCACGUCUUGACGGUACCUAAUCAGAAAGCCACGGCUAACUACGUG
rnacentral:rRNA from 1 species